AUUGAACGCUGGCGGCAGGCCUAACACAUGCAAGUCGAACGAGUGGCGGACGGGUGAGUAAGGUCUGGGAAACUGACUGAUGGAGGGGGAUAACUACUGGAAACGGUAGCUAAUACCGCAUACCAUCAGAUGUGCCCAGAUGGGAUUAGCUAGUGGGUGGGGUAACGGCUUACCAAGGCGACGAACCCUAGCUGGUCUGAGAGGAUGACCAGCCACACUGGAACGGAGACACGGUCCAGACUCCUACGGGAGGCAGCAGUGGGGAAUAUUGGACAAUGGGCGAAAGCCUGAUACAGCCAUGCCGCGUGUGUGAAGAAGGCCUUCGGGUUGUAAAGUACUUUCAGCGGGGAGGCGUUACCCUCAGAAGAAGCACCGGCUAACUCCGUGCCAGCAGCCGCGGUAAUAC
rnacentral:rRNA from 1 species